rnacentral:rRNA from 1 species
GAUGAAUGCUGGCGGCGUGCCUAACACAUGCAGGUCGAGCGGCAGCGCGAGUAGUUUACUACUUGGCGGCGAGCGGCGGACGGCUGAGUAACGCGUGGGAACAUGCCCCAAAGUGAGGGAUAACUGCUCGAAAGGGUAGCUAAUACCGCAUAUGGCCUUCGGAUUAAAGGAUUUAUCCGCUUUGGGAGUGGCCUGCGUACGAUUAGAUAGUUGGUGAGGUAAUGGCUCACCAAGUCGACGAUCGUUAACUGGUCUGAGAGGAUGAUCAGUCAGACUGGAACUGAGACACGGUCCAGACUCCUACGGGAGGCAGCAGUGAGGAAUCUUCCACAAUGGGCGAAAGCCUGAUGGAGCAACGCCGCGUGCAGGAUGAAGGCCUUCGGGUCGUAAACUGCUUUUAUGAGUGAAGAAUAUGACGGUAACUCAUGAAUAAGCACCGGCUAACUACGUGCCAGCAGCCGCCGUAA